CUACGGGUGGCAGCAGUGAGGAAUAUUGCACAAUGGGGGGAACCCUGAUGCAGCAACGCCGCGUGGAGGAUGACGCAUUUCGGUGUGUAAACUCCUUUUAUAUGUCAAGAAAAUGACGGUAGCAUAUGAAUAAGCACCGGCUAACGUCCGUGCCAGCAGCCGCGGUAAUACGGAGGGUGCAAGCGUUACUCGGAAUCACUGGGCGUAAAGGACGCGUAGGCGAGUUGGAAAGUCAGGUGUGAAAUCCUACAGCUUAACUGUAGAACUGCACUUGAAACUUCUAAUCUAGAGUAUGGGAGGGGGAGAUGGAAUUAGUGGUGUAGGGGUAAAAUCCGUAGAUAUCACUAGGAAUACCUAAAGCGAAGGCGAUCUCCUGGAACAUUACUGACGCUAAGGCGUGAAAGCGUGGGGAGCAAACAGGAUUAGAUACCCCCGUAGUC
rnacentral:rRNA from 1 species